rnacentral:tRNA from 1 species
AAAAACAUAAUUUAAUGGUAAAAUGUAAAGCUUCAAACUUUAAGAUCUCAGUUCAAAUCUGAGUGUUUUUG